CCUACGGGUGGCAGCAGUGAGGAAUAUUGGUCAAUGGGCGCGAGCCUGAACCAGCCAAGUAGCGUGAAGGAUGACUGCCCUACGGGUUGUAAACUUCUUUUAUCAGGGACGAAGCAAGUGACGGUACCUGAUGAAUAAGCCACGGCUAACUACGUGCCAGCAGCCGCGGUAAUACGUAGGUGGCAAGCGUUAUCCGGAUUUACUGGGUGUAAAGGGCGUGUAGGCGGGAAAGCAAGUCAGAUGUGAAAACCAUGGGCUCAACCUGUGGCCUGCAUUUGAAACUGUUUUUCUUGAGUACUGGAGAGGCAGACGGAAUUCCUAGUGUAGCGGUGAAAUGCGUAGAUAUUAGGAGGAACACCAGUGGCGAAGGCGGUCUGCUGGACAGCAACUGACGCUGAGGCGCGAAAGCGUGGGGAGCAAACAGGAUUAGAUACCCUUGUAGUC
rnacentral:rRNA from 1 species